AUACGUAGGGUGCAAGCGUUAAUCGGAAUUACUGGGCGUAAAGCGUGCGCAGGCGGUUUUGUAAGACAGAGGUGAAAUCCCCGGGCUCAACCUGGGAACUGCCUUUGUGACUGCAAGGCUAGAGUACGGCAGAGGGGGAUGGAAUUCCGCGUGUAGCAGUGAAAUGCGUAGAUAUGCGGAGGAACACCGAUGGCGAAGGCAAUCCCCUGGGCCUGUACUGACGCUCAUGCACGAAAGCGUGGGGAGCAAACAGGAUUAGAUACCCUGGUAGUCCACGCCCUAAACGAUGUCAACUGGUUGUUGGGUCUUAACUGACUCAGUAACGAAGCUAACGCGUGAAGUUGACCGCCUGGGGAGUACGGCCGCAAGGUUGAAACUUAAAGGAAUUGACGGGG
rnacentral:rRNA from 1 species